UACAGAGGUCCCGGGCGUGUUCGGAUUCACUGGGCGUAAAGGGUGCGUAGGUGGUGAGGUAAGUCGGAUGUGAAAUCUCCGAGCUCAACUCGGAAAUGGCAUUGGAAACUACCUUGCUCGAGGGUUGGAGGGGGGACUGGAAUACUUGGUGUAGCAGUGAAAUGCGUAGAUAUCGGGAGGAACACCUGUGGCGAAAGCGGCGCACUGGACCACAACUGACGCUGAGGCGCGAAAGCUAGGGGAGCGAACAGG
rnacentral:rRNA from 1 species